UACGAAGGGGGCUAGCGUUGCUCGGAAUCACUGGGCGUAAAGCGCACGUAGGCGGCUUUUUAAGUCAGGGGUGAAAUCCUGGAGCUCAACUCCAGAACUGCCUUUGAUACUGGGAAGCUUGAGUUCGGGAGAGGUGAGUGGAACUGCGAGUGUAGAGGUGAAAUUCGUAGAUAUUCGCAAGAACACCAGUGGCGAAGGCGGCUCACUGGCCCGAUACUGACGCUGAGGUGCGAAAGCGUGGGGAGUAAACAGG
rnacentral:rRNA from 1 species